rnacentral:rRNA from 1 species
ACUCCUGCGGGAGGCAGCAGUGGGGAAUAUUGCACAAUGGGCGCAAGCCUGAUGCAGCGACGCCGCGUGGGGGAUGAAGGCCUUCGGGUUGUAAACUCCUUUCGCUAGGGACGAAGCUUUUUUGUGACGGUACCUAGAUAAGAAGCACCGGCUAACUACGUGCCAGCAGCCGCGGUAAUACGUAGGGUGCGAGCGUUGUCCGGAAUUACUGGGCGUAAAGGGCUCGUAGGUGGUUUGUCGCGUCGUCUGUGAAAUUCUGGGGCUUAACUCCGGGCGUGCAGGCGAUACGGGCAUAACUUGAGUGCUGUAGGGGUAACUGGAAUUCCUGGUGUAGCGGUGAAAUGCGCAGAUAUCAGGAGGAACACCGAUGGCGAAGGCAGGUUACUGGGCAGUUACUGACGCUGAGGAGCGAAAGCAUGGGUAGCGAACAGGAUUAGAUACCCGGGUAGUCCC